rnacentral:rRNA from 1 species
UACGGGGGGGGCAAGCGUUGUUCGGAAUUACUGGGCGUAAAGGGCGCGUAGGCGGCCUGCUAAGUCGGAUGUGAAAUCCCUCGGCUCAACCGAGGAACUGCAUCCGAUACUGGCGGGCUUGAAUCCGGGAGAGGGAUGUGGAAUUCCAGGUGUAGCGGUGAAAUGCGCAGAUAUCAGGAGGAACACCGGUGGCGAAGGCGGUUCUCUGGGCAUUACCUGACGCUGAGGAGCGAAAGUGUGGGGAGCGAACAGG